rnacentral:misc_RNA from 2 species
AACGCACCUUGCGCUCUCUGGUAUUCCGGAGAGCAUGUCUGUUUGAGUGUCAUGAACUCUUCAACCCACCAGUUUCUUGUAGACUGAAUGGUGUUUGGUUUCUGAGCGUUGCUGGUCUUCGGAUCUAGCUCGUUCGUAAUAUAUUAGCAUCUCUAAUUCGAACUCGGAUUGACUCAGUGUAAUAGACUAUUCGCUGAGGACACGCUCUUGUAGUGUGGCCGAAUGAGAUCUCAGUAGAAGCUUCCAACUACUUUAGUCAACUUUAGAUUAGACCUCAGAUCAGGCAGGAUUACCCGCUGAACUUAA